rnacentral:tRNA from 3 species
GCUUCGUCGUUCAAUCGGUCAGGAUGCCCCGUUUUUGGGGUGAUGCGGGUUCGAAUCCCGUCGAAGCACGA